CUCGUGACCCUUACGUGGGAAGCAAGGGUGUAAGGCAGCCUGAGGAGCCAGGAUGUGUCCCUUCCUUGGGGCCAGUGUGUCGGUUUCUGUGUCUCUUCCUUUUAGGACAUGUGCCAACUCUCUCUCAGUCCGCCGUGGUCCCCUGAGCUAGUUUCGGCCAAUCCCAGAGGAAACAUCCACACAUUUUCUCGUUACCCAAGCACCACGCUGCCGUCUCUGGAGAACACGAAAGUGUUUUGGUAGAUGGUGUACCCUCCAGAAGCCUUGACUCCUCCGAUAUCCAUGACACCGAAGAAGUUACAUGGAGUCCUGCUUUCGGGGGUUUCCGUCCAGAGUUCCACGUGGCUGUGGAGUGAGACCUUCAGGCUGUCAUCCUGCUGACACCAUGCUGGGCAGUGACUGGCACCAUCCUCAUUGCCGUGGCCGGGCAAACUCCUCUUCCGGCUUGUGUGUGUGUGUUGGGGGUGGGGACGUGCGUAAUUAUAAGUGAGAUCUGCUGAGGAGCUCGGUAACCAGUCGGAGCUCACUGC